rnacentral:sRNA from 1 species
UUUAAAGUAAAAUUUAUUAUUUUGGAAAAAAGAUUUAAUGCUAAUGGUAUUGGGUUGUAAAUAAGUCCAACUCUAUGAUUUCUUUGCUAAAAUGGCUGCAAAAAUGUAUAUAUAGAUUGUCUGUUUUUAUGUUAUUCUUAU